UAUUAAAUAAUCUGUAUAAAUCCGCCUUUAUAAGUCAAAUAUAAUAUAAGAACGUUAAAACCACGCGAGGUGUCUUUCGCUUAUCAAUCUUUGUGUCAAGUCAAUAUGUCGAAUAAUAUUACACUAUUAUUUGUCAUAAUGGCAGCUCUUCUUCUAAUUAUGGGUCUUGAGACCCACGCUUGUGUGAUACCUGCAGUAACUCGCCUCGAAAAUGAUUUGACUAGAAGCAUAUUGCGAGGGAGAAUUGCUGGGAUUGGAAUUUCGGGAUAGACGUCUAUAGAUAAUAUUCUGUAUGAAAAUAAUCAAGUAUAAAAAAACAUUUUUUUAAUUA